AAUAGAUACCCUGGUAGUCCACGCCGUAAACGAUGAGUGCUAGGUGUUAGGGGGUCCAACCCUUAGUGCCGAAGUUAACACAUUAAGCACUCCGCCUGGGGAGUACGGUCGCAAGACUGAAACUCAAAGGAAAUUGACGGGGGGCCCGCACAAGCGGUGGAGCAUGUGGUUUAAUUCGAAGCAACGCGAAGAACCUUACCAGGGCUUGACAUCCCUCUGACCGUUCUAGAGAUAGAGCUUCCCUUCGGGGCAGAGGUGACAGGUGGUGCAUGGUUGUCGUCAGCUCGUGUCGUGAGAUGUUGGGUUAAGUCCCGCAACGAGCGCAACCCUUGUCCUUAGUUGCCAGCAUUCAGUUGGGCACUCUAGGGAGACUGCCGGUGACAAACCGGAGGAAGGUGGGGAUGACGUCAAAUCAUCAUGCCCCUUAUGUCCUGGGCUACACACGUGCUACAAUGGCUGGUACAAAGGGUAGCGAAGCAGUGAUGUGGAGCCAAUCCCAAAAAGCCAGUCACAGUUCGGAUUGUAGGCUGCAACUCG
rnacentral:rRNA from 1 species